UUAGCCAUGCUAGUCGCACGAGUUCAGACUCGUGGCGAAUAGCUCAGUAACACGUGGCCAAACUACCCUUCGGAACACAAUACCCUCGGGAAACUGAGGCUAAUAGUGUAUACCAUACCACCACUGGAAUGAGUGGUAUGCCAAACGCUCCGGCGCCGAAGGAUGUGGCUGCGGCCGAUUAGGUAGACGGUGGGGUAACGGCCCACCGUGCCAAUAAUCGGUACGGGUCAUGAGAGUGAGAACCCGGAGACGGAAUCUGAGACAAGAUUCCGGGCCCUACGGGGCGCAGCAGGCGCGAAACCUUUACACUGCACGACAGUGGAUUAGGGGGAUCCCAAGUGCACAGGCAUAGCGCCUGUGCUUUUCGGCACCCUAAGGCGGUGCCAGAAUAAGGGCUGGGCAAGACCGGUGCCAGCCGCCGCGGUAAUACCGGCAGCCCAAGUGAUGGCCGAUCUUAUUGGGCCUAAAGCGUCCGUAGCUGGCCGCGCAAGUCCAUCGGGAAAUCCACCUGCUCAACAGGUGGGCGCCCGGUAGAAACUGCGUGGCUUGGGACCGGAAGGCGCGACGGGUACGUCCGGGGUAGGAGUGAAAUCCCGUAAUCCUGGACGGACCGCCGAUGGCGAAAGCACGUCGCGAGAACGGAUCCGACAGUGAGGGACGAAAGCCAGGGUCU
rnacentral:rRNA from 1 species